GUUUUGGGAUACAUGGUGCUCUCUGCCUCAGGAGUUGGAGAAGUCAUGCUUUCUGCAUUUAUGUGAUGCAUACAAGGACUAUGUAUUCCAGCAGAAGCUCCUUUGAGGAAUGGCUUCUCUGAACAAGUAGCUAAUGUACAUGGUGAUGCCUGGGUUUUAGGUUGCAGGUUGGGACAUUCUGAUCUACCUAUCUAUUUCAGUGAGUCCGAAAGAGCCGGCAGAGAUUUCCUGCAUCUAGAUCUUAGAGGUGAGUAGUUAAAAAUGUUAUUCAAUUGCUGCUUAUUUAUAUUACUAUUUCAUGAAAUUUAGCACCACUCUCUAGAUUGAGUCCAAACAUAAGCAUGAGUUCUUAUUAUUUAUAGAUGAAAAAAAUUAUGUUCUGCUCCUACCUGGGACUUCCAAUAAUUUCCCAUGCAAUGGAUUGCUUACUUAUGCAAUCUGAUUAACUUCAG
rnacentral:lncRNA from 11 species